GCAUAAUCAAUAAGCGGAGGAAAAGAAAGCAACAGCGAUAGCCUCAGUAACGGCGAGUGAAGCGGCUACAGCUCAAAUUUGAAAUCUGGCCUCCUUUGGGGGUCCGAGUUGUAAUUUGCAGAGGAUGCUUUGGCAUUGGCGGCGGUCUAAGUUCCUUGGAACAGGACAUCGCAGAGGGUGAGAAUCCCGUACGUGGGCGCCUGCCUUUGCCGUGUAAAGCUCCUUCGACGAGUCGAGUUGUUUGGGAAUGCAGCUCUAAAUGGGAGGUAAAUUUCUCCUAAAGCUAAAUACCGGCCAGAGACCGAUAGCGCACAAGUAGAGUGAUCGAAAGAUGAAAAGUACUUUGGAAAGAGAGUCAAAUAGCACGUGAAAUUGUUGAAAGGGAAGCGCUUGCAGCCAGACUUGCCCGCAGUUGCUCACCUAGGCUUUCGCCUGGGGCACUCUUCUGCGGGCAGGCCAGCAUCAGUUUGGGCGGUCGGAUAAAGGCCUCUGUCAUGUACCACCCCUCGGGGUGGCCUUAUAGGGGAGGCGUAAUGCGACCAGCCCGGACUGAGGUCCGCGCAUCUGCUAGGAUGCUGGCGUAAUGGCUGUAAGCGGCCCGUCUUGAAACACGGACCAAGGAGUCUAACAUCUAUGCGAGUGUUUGGGUGUCAAGCCCGGGCGCGCAAUGAAAGUGAACGGAGGUGGGAACCCUUCGGGGUGCACCAUCGACCGAUCCUGAAGUCUUCGGAUGGAUUUGAGUAAGAGCAUAGCUGUUGGGACCCGAAAGAUGGUGAACUAUGCUUGAAUAGGGUGAAGCCAGAGGAAACUCUGGUGGAGGCUCGCAGCGGUUCUGACGUGCAAAUCGAUCGUCAAAUUUGGGCAUAGGGGCGAAAGACUAAUCGAACCAUC
rnacentral:rRNA from 1 species